rnacentral:lncRNA from 1 species
UCGCGCUCUCAUUCCUCCGCCUCCCUCCCUUUCUCGCCUCUCCUCCGCCCCCCACCUCUCCCUCCGCACACACGCCGCACGCUCCACACCCCGCCGUGGCCGGCUCGCCGCCCUCCCUUUCCUCUUCCGUCCGGCCUCCCCGCCCUCGGUCCACCCCCUCCGCGCGCUCGCCCACCCCGCCCAGCCCGGAUCUCUGUCAGCGGCCGGAAGGGAAACGCGAAGCCAGCGCGGCCGCGGGGGGAGUCCGGACGGAGUCUCGCUCUGUCACCCAAGCUGGAAUGCCGUGGCGCAAUCUUAGUUCACUGCAACCUCUGCCUCCUCGGUCCAAGCCAUUCUCCUGCCUCAGCCUCCCG